AAAAAAGGUAAGCUACUAAGAGCGAAUGGUGGAUGCCUUGACUGGUAAAGGCGAUGAAGGACGUACUAGACUGCGAUAAGCUACGGGGAGCUGUCAAGAAGCUUUGAUCCGUAGAUUUCCGAAUGGGGCAACCCAAUGUAUAGAGAUAUACAUUACCUAUAUAGGAGCGAACGAGGGGAAUUGAAACAUCUUAGUACCCUCAGGAAAAGAAAUCAAUAGAGAUUGCGUCAGUAGCGGCGAGCGAAAGCGCAAGAGGGCAAACCCAGUGCUUGCACUGGGGGUUGUAGGACUGCAAUGUGCAAGAGCUGAGUUUAGCAGAACAUUCUGGAAAGUAUAGCCAUAGAGGGUGAUAGUCCCGUAUGCGAAAAACAAAGCUUAGCUAGCAGUAUCCUGAGUAGGGCGGGACACGAGGAAUCCUGUCUGAAUCCGGGUCGACCACGAUCCAACCCUAAAUACUAAUACCAGAUCGAUAGUGCACAAGUACCGUGAGGGAAAGGUGAAAAGAACUGAGGUGAUCAGAGUGAAAUAGAACCUGAAACCAUUUGCUUACAAUCAUUCAGAGCACUAUGUAGCAAUACAGUGUGAUGGACUGCCUUUUGCAUAAUGAGCCUGCGAGUUGUGGUGUCUGGCAAGGUUAAGCAAACGCGAAGCCGUAGCGAAAGCGAGUCUGAAUAGGGCGCUUAGUCAGAUGCUGCAGACCCGAAACGAAGUGAUCUAUCCAUGAGCAAGUUGAAGCUAGUGUAAGAACUAGUGGAGGACUGAACCCAUAGGCGUUGAAAAGCCCCGGGAUGACUCGUGGAUAGGGGUGAAAGGCCAAUCAAACUUCGUGAUAGCUGGUUCUCUCCGAAAUAUAUUUAGGUAUAGCGUUGUGUCGUAAUAUAAGGGGGUAGAGCACUGAAUGGGCUAGGGCAUACACCAAUGUACCAAACCCUAUCAAACUCCGAAUACCUUAUAUGUAAUCACAGCAGUCAGGCGGCGAGUGAUAAAAUCCGUCGUCAAGAGGGAAACAACCCAG
rnacentral:rRNA from 1 species